rnacentral:rRNA from 1 species
CUUUUCUUGUUAGUUUUUGAAGUAUGGCCUGCCCGCUGACUUGAAGUGUUGAAGGGCCGCGGUAUUUUGACCGUGCAAAGGUAGCAUAAUCAUUAGUUCUUUAAUUGUGAUCUGGAAUGAAUGGCUUGACGAGACACGAGCUGUCUUAAGUUGUGAAUAUUUUAUUGAAUUUGGUUUUUGAGUUAAAAUUCUUAGAUGUUUUUAUGGGACGAGAAGACCCUAUAGAGUUUAACAUUUGGUCUAUUUUCCUUAUUGUUUGUUUUGUUUAAUUGAGUGGGCUUAUAUGUUUUGUUGGGGCGAUGAGAGGGAUAUAGUUUAACCCCUCUUUAUUUUGGUUAUAUUAAUUUAUAGUUGCUUGAUCCAUUGAUUUUGAUUAUAAGAUUAAAUUACC